rnacentral:misc_RNA from 1 species
GAUGAAGAACGUAGCGAAAUGCGAUACUUGGUGUGAAUUGCUGAAUCCCGUGAACCAUCGAGUCUUUGAACGCAAGUUGCGCCCGAAGCCAUUAGGCCGAGGGCACGCCUGCCUGGGCGUCACACGUCGUUGCCCCCCCAUCUACUCCUUCGGGAUUGCGGGGGGCGGAUGAUGGCCUCCCGUGCGCCUCGUCGCGCGGUUGGCAUAAAUGCCAAGUCCUCGGCGACACACGCCACGACAAUCGGUGGUUGCGAAACCUCGGUUGCCCGUCGUGUGCGGUCGUCGCGCAUCGAGGGCUCGAAAAAAUUGCCGGGCUCCGGCUCGGCUUUCAACGCGACCCCAGGUCAGGCGGGGUUACCCGCUGAAUUUAAGCAUAUCAAUAAGCGGAGGA